AAUCGUCGUAAAGACCUCGUAAGGUAAAUUGACGUAAAUACCACGUAAAGUAAAUGACGAAGGAGGCACUCUUUAAUUCCACGUAGGAUGAUUUCGUCGUAAACACCUCGUAAGGCCACGAGGAUUUUACGACGAAAUUAAAAAAGCGGGGCACGCUAAUUCCACGUAAGCCAGAAUCGUCGUAAAAGAGUCGUAAACUAACGACGAUAUUACGACGAAAAUAUUAAAAAUACUAAAAAAAAGAAGAGAAGAAAGAUGCUUGAAUCACAUUUGGCGAGACUUACGUAAGUCUCGACCACAUGAGUUCCAAAUAUCUUCUUCUCUUCUUUUUUUUCCAAAUUUUCUAAAUUGGUGAAAAGCGGGACUUGCUACUUCCUCAUAGUAUAAAAACUAGAAAAAAAAGAAAAAAAGAAAGAUACUAGAAUUAUAUGUGGCG
rnacentral:lncRNA from 1 species